ACGAACGCUGGCGGCAGGCUUAACACAUGCAAGUCGAGCGCCCCGCAAGGGGAGCGGCAGACGGGUGAGUAACGCGUGGGUACGUACCUUUUGGUUCGGAACAACUCCGGGAAACUGGAGCUAAUACCGGAUAAGCCCUAACGGGGAAAGAUUUAUCGCCGAAAGAUCGGCCCGCGUCUGAUUAGCUAGUUGGUGAGGUAACGGCUCACCAAGGCGACGAUCAGUAGCUGGUCUGAGAGGAUGAUCAGCCACACUGGGACUGAGACACGGCCCAGACUCCUACGGGAGGCAGCAGUGGGGAAUAUUGGACAAUGGGCGCAAGCCUGAUCCAGCCAUGCCGCGUGAGUGAUGAAGGCCUUAGGGUUGUAAAGCUCUUUUGUCCGGGAAGAUAAUGACUGUACCGGAAGAAUAAGCCCCGGCUAACUUCGUG
rnacentral:rRNA from 1 species